AGUUCCACCAGUUGAACUUUGAAGUUGAAACAGGUGAAGCAUAUUCUAGAAAUGUCAUUUUCUAAUAUUUCAGACAUUAGAAGUUAAAACCCAUGAACAAUGUGAAUUACAGAUACAUAUGGACAGAAAUUAAAGUGAAUUUUACAUUAAAUAUUGAAUGAAUUAGAGUGUUAGAAGUAUAUUUACAAAGUUAAAAAACCUGUAAUAAUGUCAGAAUAAAUGAUUUUGACGAAACUUUGAGUUACGAAACAAGAUGUCGAGUAUAUCCAAUGAUAUAGAUUCUCAUAUCAGUAAAAAAUACGAGAUCAGAAGAAGAUUAGGAAAGGGAGCUUAUGGCGUCGUAUGGAAAGGCAUCGAUAGAAAAUAUGGAAGCACGGUAGCUGUCAAGAAAAUUUUUGACGCAUUUCGAAAUCGAACAGAUGCGCAGAGAACAUUUCGAGAAAUCGUUUUCCUGAAAGAGUUCGGCUCCCACCCGAACAUUAUUCGAUUGCUGAAUGUUCAUCGAGCUUCGAACGACAAGGACCUGUACCUUGUAUUUGAGUUUAUGGAAACUGAUUUGCAUCAUGUUAUCAAGAAGGGAAAUAUCCUCAAGGAAAUACACAGACAGUACAUUAUGUACCAGCUUUUUAAGGCAACAAAGUUCCUACACUCUGGCAAUGUGAUACAUAGAGACCAGAAACCCAGCAAUAUAUUGCUUGACUCUCAGUGCAAUUGUAAACUCGCAGAUUUUGGACUUGCUCGGUCCCUUUCAGUCAAAGAGAGUCCUGAGGUUGGUGGAGAAGGGGAUGCUUGUCUGACUGAUUAUGUUGCUACAAGAUGGUAUAGAGCUCCUGAGAUACUCCUCGCUAGUAAGAAGUAUACGGCAGGGGUGGAUAUGUGGAGUCUAGGCUGUAUUCUAGCAGAGAUGUGCUUAGGAAAGCCCUUGUUUCCUGGAAGCUCAACAAUAAAUCAAAUAGAAAAGAUAGUUACUAGCAUCACACUACCCUCAACAGAUGAUAUUAAGGAUAUUAGUUCUGAGUAUGCUGUGAGUAUCCUGGACCGGGCAGCUACGAUGAAAAGACGACCUCUUGUUGACCUGCUCAGCGAGUCUAGCAAAGACGCUGUUCAUCUGAUAGAAACCCUUCUUAAGUUUAAUCCUAACCAGAGGUUGACCGCACAUGCCUCCCUCAGACAUCCAUAUGUCGCCAGAUUUCAUAAUUCAGCUCAGGAGCCUGAGAUGAAGAGAGACGUGAUUCCCCCGUUGAACGAUUGUGUUCAACUAUCUGUAGAUCAGUACAGGGGGAAACUUUAUGAUAUUAUCAAACAAGAAAAGUUUUUCAGGAGGAAAGAUGAGGAGAAGAGGGAGGAGCGGCGUGCCUCCAGCCAUGAGUUGAGGGAGGGAAGGCGAGGCAGUGUUGAAACCGUGAGGAAGGUUCAAAGUGAGGUAAAUGUACGCGGAGAGAAGCUUCUACCUGGAAGACGACUAGCCACAGCUCAACCCAGACAACAAUCUCCAUUGGAUCGAGUUGAGAGCAAGACGAGCUUAAAGGAAACCCUGAAGCAAAGCAUGACAACUGGAUACUGCUACAGAACUACUAACUUUCUCAAAACUAAAUUGUAAACAAACAUAUUGUUUCUAGAACAAUCUAAUGAUGGACCAUAUAAUUUCCUUGCUCAAUCCCUUAUAUCCUUCAUACGUUUACUUCUGUCUACCAAUAUAUUUAUAUUUCACUUCAUUUUUUAAUUUAUCUAAAACAACUCCCAGCUAGCUAAAAACUGACCAAAGAACCAAAUGAGAAAUAUUUUCAAAAAAUCAAAUUUAAAAUCAAAGAAAACUGUUUAAUGUAUACAUGGAGUAAUAAUAAUCAAACGUGUUUAAAUACAGGGUGUUUCUACGCAUAUUUAGAUAUUGAUAUCAUCAUCAUCUUCAACUUGGCGUUUAUUAAAUGCAGUAAGGAUAUUAAGAUUGCUGUAAAAAAAGUUAUACUGAUAUUGAUCUUUAAAAACAUGUUGAGACAACUGAAAUACUGGUCUUUAUGAUAACUUUGACUAGUUCCCCAAAAACGUAGAAUAUUUAAAAUUAUCGAUAUCGUUUAUUUCUUGAAACAUUUAUAUGUUUUCUUUGUUGGUAAAAUGAUCUACGAAGGGUCCUUGCGAAGGACAUUUGAGUAGAUUUUGAUAUUUCUUUGUCUUUCUACGCGCGGUUACAAACAUUUCUGAUAUCUGAUAUGCGCUCAAUGGAUGAAAAAAAAUCUUUGUAUCGUCAAAAAUUGAAAAUGAUUUUUUGUAAGUAAACGUUAAAACAUAUCAUGUAAUUUUGACCAAGAAUGCAGAACAUGCUGAAAAUACAAAAAUAAGAACAAUUGUAGAUUUAAAUUUUCAAACCUUGAUCAGAGUUAGUUUUCAGAACAGAAACGUAAAAGUGAUUAACUUGAAGUUAAAUUGAAAUGAGAUUAAAUUCUUCUUAGCACAAAAAAUAGUAAAAUUUUGUGAUGUAAUAACUUAGACUCGAAAAAAGAUUAACUAAUUACAACAAGAUUGUAUGAUUGUAAAAUAUAUAAUUCGUCAUAGAAAUAAAAAAGUACUUGAUUUUUUU
rnacentral:misc_RNA from 1 species